GUGUCAGCAGCCGCGGUAAGACAGAGGUGGCAAGCGUUGUUCGGAGUUACUGGGCGUAAAGCGCACGUAGGCGGUUGGAUAAGUCCUGUGUGAAAUCCCCCCGCUCAACGGGGGAACGGCAUGGGAUACUGUCCGGCUAGAGGGUUGGAGAGGAGAGUGGAAUUCCCGGUGUAGCGGUGAAAUGCGUAGAGAUCGGGAGGAACACCUGUGGCGAAGGCGGCUCUCUGGACAACCCCUGACGCUCAAGUACGAAAGCGUGGGGAGCAAACAGGAUUAGAAACCCUUGUAGUCC
rnacentral:rRNA from 1 species